CGCGGGGAAGGAUGUGGAGGGGAUCACGCGGUAUGUUCCAAAACAGGGAGGGGAAGAGAGUAAAUAUGAUGUGGGAGAUGAAUGCGUGAGAGUUAUUAUAUAUAUUUAUAUAUAUAUAUAUAUUUUAUUUAUUAUUAUUAUUAUUAUUAUUUUAUUAUUUGUUUGAAAAGUGGUUGGGGUCCACUCGGGUAGGUUGGAAGGGCUUGGUCCUGAAUCUAAAAUAGAGGAAGUUUGGACACGUGGAGAAAAUGGGAGAGGCCUCUGUUUU
rnacentral:lncRNA from 1 species